AAAAAAAAAAAAAAUAACUUUUACUAGAAAUUUUGCUACGUACAGUAUAUCAGAUGCGCGUCAUAAAUUUGAAGAUAUUCUCCUCUGAAGCAAAACAUGCGAAUCACUUAGCAUAGAAGGAAAAACAUUAAGGGAAAAAACCAAACGUUUUAAAUUUAAUUUAAUGCUACUCGUAUUUUUCAUUUGACUUUCCUCCCACAACUGUUCAUUUAAUAAACCUAUUUACCAUACAAAGUCAUAAUCUUCCGUCUUGUAAUUUUUCAAAUUUAACAAUCUUCAUGUCUGACCUGAAAACACCCAAUGAUACCUCUUUUACGUAACAAAUAGGUUUGCUUUACUUAAAGUGAUUAAGACACAAGAUAAGGAUUGAAGGAAACUGAGAGAGCAAUUGUUCUCUGACCAUUCCAUCAACGUCUUGAGGUUCUCACUUCUACUGGAACAAAAGAGAGUUGGUCUGAGCACGUACUGCAGACGACAGCUCCAUACAGACAACCAAUAAACAGGUAUUAGCAAGACAUCAAAGGGAAGGAAAAGAAAUAUUGGUCACCUGUGGUGGUACAUUGUGUUAAGAUGUUGCUUCUUUAAUGUGGUUGACAGUAUUAUUGUCCAUACUAAUGUUCCCAUUUUUGGAUGUAGCGGUACCACAAAGGAAGUCGCAUUUCUUUUUUUCGUGUUUCUACAUUUAUUUAAGUAGGAUACAGGAAGGGGAUGGAAUCAAAAAGCGGAGUUGGCACAUUAAUUUUUUUUGACUUUAUUAAAUUAGCCAUUUUUUAUACACCCAGCCAAACCCAUACAGACGAUUCAUCUGUUCUUUUUUUUUUAGAAGGUGUUUCAGUCCACUCGCCCUCUAUUACGGUUACUACACCUGGAGUUAUGAUGAGUUCACCAUCGUCCACCACAUGUUUAGUUCCCCGAGGGCCUCACCACUAUUUACUCCCUGCAACUAAGAGAUCCCCGAAGGGAGGGAAUAGCGUCUCGUCUGCCAUCUGACGCCGUAUUUCGACCACUCCUAUUCCUUCCUUACCACUUAUUCUUACAUCCUUAUACGAUAGCACCCCACCUACAUCGGUCAUUUGCACCUAUUGUCAGGAUCUUAAUUUGGGUCAUAGACAACCCUCAUCCGGGCGAAAGGCUAAUUGGUAGUAUGCUCUGUUGAAUCCAGACUAUACAGUAGAAGCCUCCGAGGUGAGACCUCACCUGUUGGAUGUAAAAUUAGUGUAUUGAAAUUCUCUAGUGUGGAGUACGGAAGUGGCACGUUUGAAAUUUAGGAUAAACCACCUCUUUGUAUUCUUUAAGUAGCCAGAUGGGCAUACGUAUAUAUAUAUACAUAUAUGGCAUGUACUUAAUCAUUUUUUGAAGGAAGAAUACGUGAAUGAGAACUCGGUUCCGAAU
rnacentral:lncRNA from 1 species